CCCUUAGAUGUUCUGGGCUGCACGCGCGCUACACUGAAGCUAUCAACACGUUUUCCCUCCCUGAGAAGGGCGGGUAACCUUUUGAAUCAGCUUCGUGGUAGGGAUCGGGGCUUGCAAUUGUUCCCCGUGAACCAGGAAUUCCUAGUAGACGCGAGUCAUAAGCUCGCAUCGAUUAAGUCCCUGCCCUUUGUACACACCGCCCGUCGCUACUACCGAUUGAACGUUUUAGUGAGGCAUUUGGACCGACGCAUCUCAGUUUAACCGCUGGUUUGUGUUGGAAAGCCUUCCAAACUUGAGCGUUUAGAGGAAGUAAAAGUCGUAACA
rnacentral:rRNA from 1 species